CGGAGCCGUCUAAUCUAUCACGUGCCCAGUCCGACCGUCCAAACCCUUCCUCGCCAUCCUCCGAAGUCCCACUGCCCGCUCGCCGCCGCCGGCACAAGCGCGAAGACUUCACCGCCUCUUCCAUUGCCCUUGCCACGCUCCGGCCACCGGCCUCCUGUCCUGUUCCCAAUGGGUCGCCUCCGGCGUGAGGCUUCUCCUUGAGCAUGCCUCUCACAUCAUCCCGGCCCCCGGCUACUCGCCCCGGCUUCCUGGCAGAAACCUAGGGGUAGCGAAAUCAUUGUAAAAGUCGGCUGGCUCUGGAGGAAGAGGCGAAAGACGGGUGCUGGGAGGAGUAGGACGUGAUUGCUGCAUCAAAAAGAUGAAAUUUCAUGUCAUAUGAUCAGAAAUUUCAUUUUGACUUUAUGUACUGCAGACUCACUGUUGUGUAGAAUGAACCUCCGGAAUAAUUGGAUUGAACAGCUGGUGCUCCUCUAGUAGCUUUGUCCUGGUACAGUUACAUACAUAACUGCAAUUAGCCAUUCUUGUAUGAAGAGUUCUUUUGUGUCGCUCUACUUACCGAAUUCACUUUCUAAGACUACCAACUCUUGCAACAGUACAAGUUUCUUAUCUUCAGUGCAGACUGCAGAGUAACUCAUCAGUAAUAAGAAAGAAGUAACUGAUGAGUUGAACACAAA